rnacentral:rRNA from 1 species
UACGAAGGGGGCAAGCGUUGUUCGGAAUCACUGGGCGUAAAGCGUACGCAGGCGGACUGCCAAGUCAGAGGUGAAAUCCCGGGGCUCAACCCCGGAACUGCCUUUGAAACUGGUAGUCUAGAGACUGAGAGAGGAUAGUGGAAUUCCUAGUGUAGAGGUGAAAUUCGUAGAUAUUAGGAGGAACACCAGUGGCGAAGGCGGCUCACUGGCUCGAUACUGACGCUGAGGUGCGAAAGUGUGGGGAGCAAACAGG